rnacentral:rRNA from 1 species
UUGGUCAUCCGAGUUGUAAUUUAGAGAAGCGUUUUCCGCGCUGGACCAUGCACAAGUCUCCUGGAAUGGAGCGUCAUAGAGGGUGAGAAUCCCGUCUUUGGCAUGGACCCCAGGGCUUCUGUGAUGCGCUCUCAAAGAGUCGAGUUGUUUGGGNAAUGCAGCUCAAAAUGGGUGGUGAACUCCAUCUAAAGCUAAAUAUUGGCGAGAGACCGAUAGCGAACAAGUACCGUGAGGGAAAGAUGAAAAGCACUUUGGAAAGAGAGUGAAACAGUACGUGAAAUUGUUGAAAGGGAAACGCUUGAAGUCAGUCGCGUUGACCGAGACUCAGCCUUGCCUUGGCUUGGUGUACUUCUCGGCUGACGGGUCAGCAUCAAUUUUGAUCCUUGGAUAAUGACAAGGGAAAGGUGGCACCUUUAGGUGUGUUAUAGUCCUUUGUCGGAUGCAAGGGUUGGGAUUGAGGAACUCAGCAUGCACCUCACGGUGUCGGGGCCUCUGGCUCACGUUACAUGCUUAGGAUGCUGGCGUAAUGGCUUUAAACGACCCGUCUUGAAACACGGACCAAGGAGUCUAACAUGCCCGCGAGUGUUCGGGUGGAAAACCCGUGCGCGUAAUGAAAGUAAAAGUUGGGACCUCUGUCAUGGAGGGCACCGACGCCCGGACCAGACCUUCUGUGACGGCUCUGCGGUAGAGCGUGUAUGUUGGGACCCGAAAGAUGGUGAACUAUGCGGGAAUAGGGUGAAGCCAG